GUGCUUGCUUCAGCAGCACAUAUACUAAAAUUGGAAUGAUACAGAGAAGGUUAGCAUGGUCCCUUGGCAGGGAUGACAUGCAAAUUUGUGAAGCAAUAAAAAUAAAA
ensembl:snRNA U6 U6 spliceosomal RNA